rnacentral:rRNA from 1 species
UACGAACUGUGCAAACGUUAUUCGGAAUCACUGGGCUUACAGGGUGCGUAGGCGGCCUGACAAGUAGGGUGUGAAAGCCCCCGGCUCAACCGGGGAAUGGCGCCCUAAACUGUCGGGCUGGGGUGAGAUAGGGGUGUGCGGAACUUCCGGUGGAGCGGUGAAAUGUGUUGAUAUCGGAAGGAACGCCGGUGGCGAAAGCGGCACACUGGAUCUCAACUGACGCUGAGGCACGAAAGCCAGGGGAGCGAACGGG